UGCGCAUGCGCGCUGCGCUUAUCCGGUUUUGGUUUACAGACAAUGCAUCUCAUCUCUGUGAUCGAAAAUAUAAAAAAAGAGAAACAAAAGCCGGAGCCAGCGACAUCGCUCGAAUUUAUUCAAUCUUGGCGAUAAGACUGAGUGUUUGCAGAACCAUAGGAGUAUCGUUGGAAGAGACGAAGACAGGGUAAUGGCUUAAACACACGAAUGGUUUUUAGAAUGACGUGCCGGCCAAACUAUUGCAAGUUUGACUGUUCAGCAUAAUGUUAGAACAACAAACUCUUCACCUAUGCACGGUCAUAAGCCCCCGCCAGGUCCUGGCCUGUCAUUUGUGUCACAAGGAAGUACCACACCUGGUCAUGUGUCAGGAAUUGGAGAGAUAACAUCUUACUUAGAAGUAAAUUGAAGGCAGCCAACAAUUGGACGGUGGUGCCAAUCAAUGAAAAGAAGGGAUACACGUACAUGCACUGAGUACACAGAGAUCAUCAAGGAAAAAACCCUUCGAUCAAAGUUCCUUUUUGAUUCAGCUUAUCCAAAGCUAAUUGCCCCUUAUAUAUCCACCUGCGGCUAAUGAGGAGCUGCAAUAUCCAAUAGGUCAAGGGAAAGCAACCCGGAAACAAUAUGAAGAUUUACUCAUACAAAUUGGUACAUGGUGUAUGUAACUAUGUUGUUUUAACUAACUUCAACAUACCAUUAUUAUGAAUUAAAAAAUUGACAAAGCUGAAAUCAAUGAUAACUGACUAUGGGUAGGAACAUGUUGUGUGAAUUUUUGGCAGCAUGAUUUUAUAGGAUGUAUACCAUUGAGUAUGAAAGUGCAUGUGUGACCCUGGCUGUUUUUUCAGUCAGUAGAUGACUUUAGUAUUUGAAAUGAUGCUUGAAUUUAUUUGUGUAAUACAUGUAUGAAGGCGUUAUGGUCGACUGUCCUGUCAUCAUCAUGGUGAUAAAAUGUGAUUUUAAUAAGUGAACUGCUUAUAAACAUAGGGCAGAAAUAUCAUUGAUAAAAUACUGAUGAACAUAGCAUACAAGUGCCCUGAAAUGCCAUGAGAAUAUGUAUUUGAGUUUUAAGUGUGUAAGGUAUUGUGAAUUUUGUUAAUUGUUUUGUUAUAAAAAUAUAGGAUCCAAAGUAUUCAAUCAUAGAUCACUCUGAAAAAGAAAAAUAAGUAAAAACCUUGUCUGGCAAAUAACUACAUAAACAAUGGGCCAAGUUCCAGUUUUUUUUGUCACAAGUCAAGAGCACUAACAGGAAUUGUUGACUCUUAUAGGUGUUAUGUAUCAUGAUUUGUGUUAAGUUUUUUAUGGGAUGCAUGAUCGAACACGGUGAAUUAAUUGUUUUGUUAUUACAAUAGAGGAUCCAAAGUAUUUGAUCAUAGGUCACUCACUCUGAAACAGAAGAAUUUGUGAAAACCUUGUCUGGCAAAUAGCUAAAUAAACACGGGGCUCAGCAUUUUCCUGAUUUUUUGUCACAAGUAAAGACUAUGAAAAGGAAUUAUUGACUCUUUUAGGUAUAAGCUACCAUAGUCAAUGUUGAGUGCGUGCUGCACACCACAUUUGUUUAUGUUCCAUUAACAAUAACAUCAAAGCACAAUGCUAUAUAUAGAUUAUGUAUUGUUUUCCAUUGUUUAUCAGUCUAUAAACAACCAUUUAUUAUGCCCCCCUUCGAAGAAGAGGGGGUAUAUUGCUUUGCUCAUGUCGGUUGGUCGGUCGGUAUGUCGGUCCGUCCACCAGGUGGUUGUCGGAUGAUAACUCAAGAACGCAUACGCCUAGGAUCAUGAAACUUCAUAGGUAGAUUGAUCAUGACUCACAGAUGACCCCUAUUGAUUUUGAGGUCACUAGGUCAAAGGUCAAGGUCACGGUGACCCGAAAUAGUAAAAUGGUUUCCGGAUGAUAACUCAAGAACGCAUACGCCUAGGAUCAUGAAACUUCAUGGGUAGAUUGAUCAUGACUUGCAGAUGACCCCUUUUGAUUUUGAGGUCACUAGGUCAAAGGUCAAGGUCACGGUGACCCGAAACAGUAAAAUGGUUUCCGGAUGAUAACUCAAAUAUGCAUACGCCUGGGAUCAUGAAACUGCAUGGGUAGAUUGAUCAUGACUCGCAGAUGACCCCUAUUGAUUUUGAGGUCACUAGGUCAAAGGUCAAGGUCACGGUGACCCGAAAUAGUAAAAUGGUUUCCGAAUGAUAACUCAAGAAUGCAUACGCCUAGGAUCAUGAAACUUCAUGAGUAGAUUGAUCAUGACUGGCAGAUGACCCCUAUUGAUUUUGAGGUCACUAGGUCAAAGGUCAAGGUCACGGUGACCCGAAAUAGUAAUAUGGUUUCCGGAUGAUAACUCAAGAAUGCAUACGCCUAGGAUCAUGAAACUUCAUGGGUAGAUUGAUCAAGACUCGCAGAUGACCCCUAUUGAUUUUGAGGUCACUAGGUCAAAGGUCAAGGUCACAGUGACCCGAAAUAGUAAAAUGGUUUUCGGAUGAUAACUCAAGAACGCAUAUGCCUAGGAUCAUGAAACUUCAUAGGUUGAUUGAUCAUGACUCGCAGAUGAACCCUAUUGAUUUUGAGGUCACAAGGUCAAAGGUCAAGGUCACGGUGACCAGAAAUAGUAAAAUGAGUUUUGGAUGAUAACUCAAGAACGCUUUUGCCUAGGAUCAUGACACUUCAUAGGUACAUUGAUCGUGACUCGCAGAUGACCCCUAUUGAUUUUCAGGUCACUAGGUCAAAGGUCAAGGUCACAGUGACAAAAAACGUAUUCACACAAUGGCUGCCACUACAACGAAAAGCCCAUAUGGGGGGCAUGCAUGUUUUACAAACAGCCCUUGUUGUAAUAGCCUUACAUAAACUGUCAUAAAGAUGAUAAAGAUCCAUAAAUAAAAAAUUGGUGGAAUUCAGAAAUAAUUUGAUCUGUCAAAUGUUGAAAGUUGGAAACAUUUAUUAAAAAUGUUAUCAAUUAUAGUUUUGUUUCAUGAAUAUAGAGUAUUAUGUUUUGUGUUCAUUAUGUUAUGGAUUUUGUUGUUUUGGUUUAGAAUGUUUUAAUAAAUAACAUGAAGAAAUAAGAA